rnacentral:rRNA from 1 species
GAUGAACGCUGGCGGCGUGCCUAAUACAUGCAAGUCGAGCGAACAGAUAAGGAGCUUGCUCCUCUGACGUUAGCGGCGGACGGGUGAGUAACACGUGGGUAACCUACCUAUAAGACUGGGAUAACUUCGGGAAACCGGAGCUAAUACCGGAUAACAUUUGGAACCGCAUGGUUCUAAAGUGAAAGAUGGUUUUGCUAUCACUUAUAGAUGGACCCGCGCCGUAUUAGCUAGUUGGUAAGGUAACGGCUUACCAAGGCAACGAUACGUAGCCGACCUGAGAGGGUGAUCGGCCACACUGGAACUGAGACACGGUCCAGACUCCUACGGGAGGCAGCAGUAGGGAAUCUUCCGCAAUGGGCGAAAGCCUGACGGAGCAACGCCGCGUGAGUGAUGAAGGGUUUCGGCUCGUAAAACUCUGUUAUUAGGGAAGAACAAACGUGUAAGUAACUGUGCACGUCUUGACGGUACCUAAUCAGAAAGCCACGGCUAACUACGUG